UACAGCGUGAAUACACGAGUAGUUACAUUGUGAGCCAAAACAGUUUUGUGCUAAGUUCACCUUCUGAUUCCGAUUUUUGUCAUAAGAAAUGAAGUGCCUUUAGAAGAAUUGGAAAGGGGUGCCGAAGAAGUUCCACUAGUAUUUGUAAACGGGCAAAAAGGAACGUACUUUACACCUUAUAAAAGAAAGACAAAAAGCCGCCAAGAAUUCAUGCUGGCGGUAAAUUUGUUAAUAAGUAUACUACCUACCGGAACAAGAUACAAAGUAUUCAUCCAGCUGCUACCACUUCUGUUUCUGGUAUAUUGUUUUAUUUUUUUAUUUUAGUUAUGACAACUAUUGCUUGCUUAUUUUUCGUAAGAACUAAUACAGAUGAAUCUGAUGAUGACAGCACUAAAUGAACAAGCAGUCGCCACCGGAAGUUUAAAACCCAAGACAACAACUUUCAAGAAUCCUGCAGUUACUCACGAGGUGAACCAAGCCACUGUACUGAAUAUGGUAGAAAAUAAUCCCCAAAUGACCGAAGAGACCGAAAUUAGUGACCGCUUAUCAGACAAACACAAGUAUCAUCCUUUUCACUUAGAGUUGCAUCAAAAACUUUAUGGACAAGAUUUUGAAAACAGGAUAUUUUUUGUCGAUGGACCGAAGAGCAAAUAAGGUCCAAUAACAAUUUUUUUAAUAAAGUUUUGUUCACCGAUGAGUGUAAUUUAAAAAAAAAAAAACGGCAUAGUAAAUAAACAUAAUAUGCACUACUGGGCCGUUGAGAAACCCCACUGUAUGCGUCAACAAGCAAACCAAAAUUACUGGUCCUUAAAUGUUUUGGGGGACGUCGUUAUCCAUAAUAUUGUGGUAGCUACAUUUUUCUUCGGGAGGCACCUAAAUGGGGAAAUUUACGUUAAUUGUUUACGCGAAUAUUUAGACGGUAUGCUGGAGGAUGUCCCACUUAAAAUAAGACAAGAUAUGUGAUUUCAACAAGAUGGGGAGCCUCCUCAUUACAGCUAAAUAGCUAGAGCACAAUUUGAAGAGCAAUUUGUUGAAAGGUCCCAUCCUAUGGCCCUCUAGCUCUCCAGAUUUAACAGGAUCUGAUUUCUUUUUGUGAGAUAAGGUGAAAGAGAUGGUGUAUCAGGAAGAACCUACUACCAUUAAAAAUAUGCAAAAUCGGAUAUGAAACGCAUCUGCCGAAAUUAACAGGCGAAAUCUUGCAGCAAAUCAGAAAAAGUUUUCAAAGGCGCCUACGGGCCUGCAUUGAAAAUAAUGGUCAUCAUUUUAAACAUUUGUUAUGUAAAUUAAAACGUUUACUUAAAACUUAAAAAGAUGUUUUUAAUUUAAAAUAAUAGUUACCGUCCUAGAAAAAUGACGAGACAUCACUAACAUCUGCAUUCGACCUUCCAACAUUUGCAAAUCAUGCAAUCUUA